CUCGACUCCAUCACUAGGCUCUAUGUAAAAGCUCAGACUUCUUCUGUCUACUUUCGUAGGAGACUAACUUAGGGAUCGGAGGGUCCACCAUCAAGGAAUCCUACAAUGUGAGGACUUUCCUAUCUUUGAUAGUUUUGCAAGAUCUGACUCAAGGGAUCGAUUGAGGAUCUGGUACCAACAUCCAACUGAAGGUCCCGACUAACUGUCUUAUGAUUCUCUCUCUCUUCUGACUCCAGCUUAGUAGUCUGAGUCAACUCAACUCUCCAACGACAACAGAUUAGCACUAAAAGAAGGGUCUUACCUUUAUCUGAGGUCCUGAGUCAUUUUCUCCUCAUCAUCCGAGUAUGAAGACUAAGAAGACUGUGGCGACAUCCUUAACCACCAUUUCGGAGGUUCCUGUGGAACCCGCUAACCCCGAUCAGGGUCAUCGAGAUCUGCAUGUUCUGGAGACGUCGACUACCUCGGUCAUCACCUCCAAAUAGUUCUAGUAGAUUCUACUGCAGGUCCAAGCACUAACCGCCAUAGUGCACGGCCUACAGCAGUUGACUCAUCAACCUGCUCCAGUGUCGAGCAGUCACCUAGCCCCGAUGCACCUUGAUCUUCCUCCUCCUUCGAGGAGCCUAAAGCGGAGCAAUCAGUUCUACCCCACC
rnacentral:lncRNA from 1 species